rnacentral:rRNA from 1 species
UACGGGGGGGGGCAAGCGUUGUUCGGAAUUACUGGGCGUAAAGGGCUCGUAGGUGGCCAACUAAGUCAGACGUGAAAUCCCCAGGCUCAACUUGGGAACUGCGUCUGAUACUGGAUGGCUUGAAUUCGGGAGAGGGAUGCAGAAUUCCAGGUGUAGCGGUGAAAUGCGUAGAUAUCUGGAGGAAUACCGGUGGCGAAGGCGGCAUCCUGGACCGGCAUUGACGCUGAGGAGCGAAAGCCAGGGGAGCAAACGGG